AACGAACGCUGGCGGCAUGCCUAACACAUGCAAGUCGAACGAAGUCUUCGGACUUAGUGGCGCACGGGUGCGUAACGCGUGGGAAUCUGCCCUUGGGUGCGGAAUAACUUCUCGAAAGGGAUGCUAAUACCGCAUAAUGUCGUAAGACCAAAGAUUUAUCGCCCAAGGAUGAGCCCGCGUAAGAUUAGCUAGUUGGUGGGGUAAAAGCCUACCAAGGCGACGAUCUUUAGCUGGUCUGAGGGGAUGAUCAGCCACACUGGGACUGAGACACGGCCCAGACUCCUACGGGAGGCAGCAGUGGGGAAUAUUGGACAAUGGGCGAAAGCCUGAUCCAGCAAUGCCGCGUGAGUGAUGAAGGCCCUAGGGUUGUAAAGCUCUUUACCAGGGAUGAUAAUGACAGUACCUGGAGAAUAAGCUCCGGCUAACUACCGUGCCAGCAGCCGCGGU
rnacentral:rRNA from 1 species